rnacentral:rRNA from 1 species
GAGUUUGAUCCUGGCUCAGGACGAACGCUGGCGGCGUGCCUAAUACAUGCAAGUCGAGCGGAC